UGGGGGGUGCUAUACAUGCAGUCGAGCGGACAGAUGGGAGCUUGCUCCCUGAUGUUAGCGGCGGACGGGUGAGUAACACGUGGGUAACCUGCCUGUAAGACUGGGAUAACUCCGGGAAACCGGGGCUAAUACCGGAUGCUUGUUUGAACCGCAUGGUUCAAACAUAAAAGGUGGCUUCGGCUACCACUUACAGAUGGACCCGCGGCGCAUUAGCUAGUUGGUGAGGUAAUGGCUCACCAAGGCGACGAUGCGUAGCCGACCUGAGAGGGUGAUCGGCCACACUGGGACUGAGACACGGCCCAGACUCCUACGGGAGGCAGCAGUAGGGAAUCUUCCGCAAUGGACGAAAGUCUGACGGAGCAACGCCGCGUGAGUGAUGAAGGUUUUCGGAUCGUAAAGCUCUGUUGUUAGGGAAGAACAAGUACCGUUCGAAUAGGGCGGUACCUUGACGGUACCUAACCAGAAAGCCACGGCUAACUACGUGCCAGCAGCCGCGGUAAUACGUAGGUGGCAAGCGUUGUCCGGAAUUAUUGGGCGUAAAGGGCUCGCAGGCGGUUUCUUAAGUCUGAUGUGAAAGCCCCCGGCUCAACCGGGGAGGGUCAUUGGAAACUGGGGAACUUGAGUGCAGAAGAGGAGAGUGGAAUUCCACGUGUAGCGGUGAAAUGCGUAGAGAUGUGGAGGAACACCAGUGGCGAAGGCGACUCUCUGGUCUGUAACUGACGCUGAGGAGCGAAAGCGUGGGGAGCGAACAGGAUUAGAUACCCUGGUAGUCCACGCCGUAAACGAUGAGUGCUAAGUGUUAGGGGGUUUCCGCCCCUUAGUGCUGCAGCUAACGCAUUAAGCACUCCGCCUGGGGAGUACGGUCGCAAGACUGAAACUCAAAGGAAUUGACGGGGGCCCGCACAAGCGGUGGAGCAUGUGGUUUAAUUCGAAGCAACGCGAAGAACCUUACCAGGUCUUGACAUCCUCUGACAAUCCUAGAGAUAGGACGUCCCCUUCGGGGGCAGAGUGACAGGUGGUGCAUGGUUGUCGUCACCUCCUGUCCUGAGAUGUUGGGGUUAAAUCCCGCAACGAGCGCAACCCUUGAUCUUAUUUGCCACCAUUCAGUUGGGCACUCUUAAGGGGACUGCCGGGGACAAACCCAAGGAAAGUGGGGGAGGACGUCCAAUCAUCAUGCCCCCUAUAAACUGGGGGUACAACCCUGCUUCAAUGGAAGAAAACAAAGGGGGGGGAAACCGCCGGGGUUAAGCCAUUCCCCACAAUUCUGUUUUCUUUUUUGGAUCGAAGGUUGGAAAUCCAAUGGCUGGAAGCUGGAAUCCCUUAUAAUUCCCGGAUACAAUUGCCCCGGGGAAAACUUUCCCGGGCUUGUAACACCGCCGUCACACCAC
rnacentral:rRNA from 1 species